UUGACCAGAAAAAACGAUCGCCGGGUUUGCAAAAACCGGGAGGAAAGUCCGAACACCACAGGACAGGACGCUCCAUAACGUGGAGUCACGGUGACGUGAAGGAAAGUGCAACAGAGAGCAGACCGCCGGAAUCAGGUUUUGAUUCCGGUAAGGGUGAAACGGUGCGGUAAGAGCGCACCAGUUUUCCAGGUGACUGGAAAAGCUAGGUAAACCCCGUCCGGUGCAAGGCCAAAUAGGGAAACGCUUGAGGGCUGUCCGCCCAAGUUUUCGGGUAGGUCGCUGGAGGUGUACGGCAACGUGCAUCCUAGAUGAAUGAUCGUUGACCUGCUUGAGGUAACAAGAGCAGGUAACAAAAUUCGGCUUAUUGACUGGUCAGGCCG
rnacentral:RNase_P_RNA from 1 species